rnacentral:ncRNA from 1 species
CCUUCACACUUCCAAAGGAUGAUGGAUAGUAUCUUUGGUUCCUUCAUCAGGCAAAACUGGAUGAUGGUGUACAUUGAUGAUAUUAUCAUUGACCAGUCCAGAUUAUUUAUAUGAUGGUACUGAGUAAGAGCAAGUAUGUUGGGACCCGAAAGAUGGUGAACUAUGCCUGAAUAGGGUGAAGCCAGAGGAAACUCUGGUGGAAGCUCGUAGCGGUUCUGACGUGCAAAUCGAUCGUCAAAUUUGGGUAUAGGGGCGAAAGACUAAUCGAACCAUCUAGUAGCUGG